rnacentral:rRNA from 1 species
AUUGAACGCUGGCGGAAUGCUUUACACAUGCAAGUCGAACGGCAGCACGGACUUCGGUCUGGUGGCGAGUGGCGAACGGGUGAGUAAUGUAUCGGAACGUGCCCAGUCGUGGGGGAUAACGUAGUGAAAAUUACGCUAAUACCGCAUACGAUCUAUGGAUGAAAGCGGGGGAUCGCAAGACCUAGCGCGAUUGGAGCGGCCGAUAUCAGAUUAGGUAGUUGGUGGGGUAAAGGCUCACCAAGCCAACGAUCUGUAGCUGGUCUGAGAGGACGACCAGCCACACUGGAACUGAGACACGGUCCAGACUCCUACGGGAGGCAGCAGUGGGGAAUUUUGGACAAUGGGCUAAAGCCUGAUCCAGCCAUUCCGCGUGCAGGAUGAAGGCCCUCGGGUUGUAAACUGCUUUUGUACAGAACGAAAAGGUUUCUACUAAUACUAGGAGCUCAUGACGGUACUGUAAGAAUAAGCACCGGCUAACUACGUGCCAGCCGCCGCGGUAA